GCCUACGGGGGGCAGCAGUGAGGAAUAUUGGUCAAUGGGCGCGAGCCUGAACCAGCCAAGUCGCGUGAGGGAAGACGGUCCUAUGGAUUGUAAACCUCUUUUGUCGGGGAGCAAAAGACGCCACGUGUGGCGUUCCGAGAGUACCCGAAGAAAAAGCAUCGGCUAACUCCGUGCCAGCAGCCGCGGUAAUACGGAGGAUGCGAGCGUUAUCCGGAUUUAUUGGGUUUAAAGGGUGCGUAGGCGGGCUGUUAAGUCAGCGGUCAAAUGUCGGGGCUCAACCCCGGCCUGGCGUUGAAACUGGCGGC
rnacentral:rRNA from 1 species